AUGCUUAACACAUGCAAGUCGAACGGUAACAUUUCUAGCUUGCUAGAAGAUGACGAGCGGCGGACGGGUGAGUAAUGCUUGGGAAUAUGCCUUAUGGUGGGGGACAACAGUUGGAAACGACUGCUAAUACCGCAUAACGUCUACGGACCAAAGGGGGGGAUCUUCGGACCUCUCGCCAUUUGAUUAGCCCAAGUGAGAUUAGCUAGUUGGUGGGGUAAUGACCUACCAAGGCGACAAUCGGUAUCCGGCCUAAGAGGGCGGACGGACACACUGGGACUGAGACACGGCCCAGACUCCUACGGGAGGCAGCAGUGGGGAAUUGUUCGCAAUGGACGAAAGUCUGACGACGCAACGCCGCGUGGAGGACGAAGACCUUCGGGUCGUAAACUCCUGUCGAGUGGGACGAAAACCACCCGGGUAAAUACCCCGGGAGGCUGACGGUACCAUUAAAGGAAGCCCCGGCUAACUCCGUGCCAGCAGCCGCGGUAAUACGGGGGGGGCAAGCGUUAUUCGGAAUUACUGGGCGUAAAGAGCUCGUAGGCGGCUUGUUUAGUCGGACGUGAAAUCCCUUGGCUCAACUGAGGAACUGCGUCCGAUACUGGCAGGCUUGAAUCCGGGAGAGGGAUGCGGAAUUCCAGGUGUAGCGGUGAAAUGCGUAGAUAUCUGAAGGAACACCAGUGG
rnacentral:rRNA from 1 species